GCAAUUUUCACCGUCGGAUCCCAAUUCCCUUCCUCUCUCCUCCUCGAAACAACAACAACAGCAGCCGUCCGGUUCAACAUCCCCCUCUCUCUCCUCCGGUAUCUCCUCCAACCCCUUGAAACAGUACUUCCCUCUCCUCCUCCGCACCGUCACCUCCACCUUUUCUCUCAUAGCCUCCCGCCCCUCGCAGCACGCAAAACUCCGCCUCCUCACCUCCAUCCAAACCACCUCUCUC
rnacentral:lncRNA from 1 species